GGCACGUCUGUCUUUUUUUCUCUCUUUCUCACUCUAUUCCCCGCUGCCUGAGAAGUCCUGAUAAGACACACUACUAUCUGGGGAGGAGUUACCCCAGCGUGCCGAGGUGGGAUUCAAAAUUGUUUGAUGGAGUGACUGAUUAGCGGUUUUAUUUUAUUUUUAUUUUUCUCCCCGGUGUUGCUAUGGGACACUUGUCUUUGAAGUUGUGACGCUGCCAUUCCAGUUUUUCUGCCAAGCAACCGUGGAUGACGGUAGGGAUUAAAUUAUUUCUGCCAUUGUAUUACUGGUGGACUUGUAAUUUUCUCUCAAGUGCACUGCUUCUUGAGGGCCGUUCUCAUAGAGCUGUGGUAGUGGUGGAAAAGAAAAACAGGAGUGAACAUAACUUAUGGUUGCAAAUGUAUGAAUUUGAUACUUGAGCAUAUGAAACAAGUUCAAUCUAGAGUAUAAAAUCAAUUAGCAUACCAAAUAGAUUUUAACCCGUUCUUGUCUGAAAGAUUAUUUUGUCAGUUAGCUCUUACUUUUUCUAUUCCUUUUGCUUUAAUCUCAGGAAACCAUCGAUUUUUUUACGCACAGAAAACUACAUACAUGUAUUGAAUUGCUGGAAAAUAUGACUAAACUUAUAAAUUAUACUCAUCUUUGCUGGAAUUGACUAUUAAUAAUUACAUUUCUGCUAUAUGGGAUCAUCAUAUAUCAUAUUAAAUCAUAUCUUUGACAGUUAUUUAGAGAGAAGAAGAGACUGAUGCUGCGAGACGCAUCAACAAACAUUUCAUGAAGGUUUCGUGUGUGUUCAGAUGGAGCGGUGAUAACUGUUGGGAGCUCAUUUUACACCUUUGUGUGGACUGCACACACCGACCAACUAUGACUGUAGAAAGCAAGCCUACAGAGACUUCAGUGUGUAAUAAUGGUUUGUGUAUAAUACUUAAAAGACUUGGAUAAUAAACUGUUAAGAACCACUCAAAAUUAAAGCUGUCAAAGUUGUAUUUUAGUGACAAAUCUCAAUUUUAUGGUACACUUGGUGUGCCUUUGUACAAAUAAAUAAAAUACUACUUCAAAUUUAAAUAAUCAUUCUUCCCUAUAAUUAGCUGUACUUUUGUUUGCUGUGCUUUUAAAUGAUAGAAAAACUGCACCCAUGUCCUUUCGUCUAUCUCUUCCGAUUUGUUUCUAAAGUGAGUGUAACAUAUGGAGAUGACUUCAAAAGGCAGAUUUUAACCAUGGUUAAGAAAGACAUUUCUUUCUCUUCAUUUGAAGGAAAAUGUUGCUGAUAUUCUUCUUUCCCUAUUUGAGGCUUCUGAAGAGACCAAAACCAACAAUGUUCAAGUUCGUAAUA